ensembl:lncRNA
GCUUCAGUUUCAGCAGGACGAGUUGUAGUUCGUGUUUUCUUCAGUUGUAAUUUUCUAAUAACUUUUCAGCAUUUUUAUUUUUUAACACCUUGUGCAAAAGGUGGUGAACAUUCAUGUUGAUGAAAUAAUUUACCUAAUGAGUGAACUUUAAAUUGGAUAGUUGCUUUUUUCUCUUAGGAUAGAUUCCUGGAGAUUAGGGGAUCACUAAAGCCAGGUUGUUUUAUGGGGUGUUCUAAAAGUGAGAUUUUUAAGAAAUGCUCUGUGACUUUUAGAGGAAAUAUAUGUAUGUUGUGGUUAAGGAGAGUUAUUAAAACUUUGAAUAGGUUUUUUUAAAUCUAUUUAAUGAGAAACAUAUUUCUAUAGAGAGGGUCUUUUGUUAAUGCCGUCUCUAACAAAAUUGUAAUUACAAUCACUUCUAUAAUUAGAGUAGGUUAAAAUUCUUUUCCCCUCAAAUAUUAGUCAACAAAUCUUUAUCAAAUAUUGCCGUUAAGUGCACAGUAUCAUUAACAGUCUUUGUAGGUGAUGCUAAGAAAACAAAAAGCUCCUGCAUUUGAGAAGAUGAUCUGUUUAGGAAGGCAAGGCAUGCACAUGAAGAGCAAUCUAAACUUAGAAGCUAGUAAUACAAGAGAUGUCAUAGGAAGAAAAUCAUUAAGGCUGAGUGUGGGUAUAGAUGUUAAAUGAUAACAAAGACAUGGAGAUGAGAUAUAAGUUAAGUUGGAGGAUUCAAGAAAAUCAAUGAGUCGAUGCUGUAGAAUGGGAAAGAUUUGUAGACGUGGAAUAGACAGAGAAGCCCCUGGUUAGGAAAAAUGUCUGAAACAAAGGUAGGAACGCUCACGACAGUGAGUAACCUACAGAACUAGAAUGGGGGGUUUGUAUAAGGUUCAGGUUGCAGCAUUUAAAUUUGAUCCUGCCUUUGAGGGACAUUGAAGGGUUUAAAGCGGCAAAGAUAAUGUGAAGUUGGUAUUUAAUAAAGGCAGUAGAGUUACCUUCUUAGGAGAUUUAUCAAAGAAACCUGAAGAUUCCACUAUUACCUCUCUUCCCUAAUUGGUGAAUAUUUAAAGAUAGGAGACAGGUGAAGAAUUUCAAGAUGAGCUGUACAGUUGGUGCAAUGUAGGUAUCUUUAUAUGGUGCUUUUCUUCUAGUUUUUAAUGUGUCUGAAAAGUAAAGUAAAAUGUAUUCAUAAGGAAGAGAAAACAAAUUAAAUAUUAAAGAUUGCAUCUUUAAUAACUUAGUUGUAUCGCAAAUAUGACUCAGGGAAUUUCAACAUACACACACACAGCCACAAUCAUUUAAAAAGGUCUACCUCAGGGACUGGCCCCGUGGCUGAGUGGUUAAGUUCGCGCCCUCCGCUACAGGCGGCCCAGUGUUUCGUUGGUUCGUAUCCUGGGCGUGGACAUGGCACUGCUCAUCAAACCAUGCUGAGGCAGCGUCCCACAUGCCACAACUAGAAGGACCCACAACGAAGAAUAUACAACUAUGUACUGGGGGGCUUUGGGGAGAAAAAGGAAAAAAAUGAAAUCUUUAAAAAAUAAAAAAUAUAAAAAAUAAAUAUAAUAUAAAAAUUAUACAAAAUAUAAUAAAAAAUAAUAUAAAAAAUAAAAAAAUAAAAAAAAUAAAAAGGUCUGCCUCAUAAUUCUAUCUGCAC